rnacentral:rRNA from 1 species
GUAGCCGACCUGAGAGGGUGAUCGGCCACAUUGGAACUGAGACACGGUCCAAACUUCUACGGAAGGCAGCAGUAGGGAAUCUUGCACAAUGGGCGAAAGCCUGAUGCAGCAACGCCGCGUGAAGGAUGAAGGCCUUCGGGUUGUAAACUUCUGUUCUAAGGGAAGAAACAAAUGACGGUACCUUAGGAGCAAGCCCCGGCUAACUACGUGCCAGCAGCCGCGGUAAUACGUAGGGGGCAAGCGUUAUCCGGAAUUAUUGGGCGUAAAGAGUGCGUAGGUGGUUACCUAAGCGCAAGGUUUAAUUUAGAGGCUCAACCUCUACUUGCCUUGCGAACUGGGCUACUUGAGUGCAGGAGGGGAAAGCGGAAUUCCUAGUGUAGCGGUGAAAUGCGUAGAUAUUAGGAGGAACACCAGCGGCGAAGGCGGCUUUCUGGACUGUAACUGACACUGAGGCACGAAAGCGUGGGUAGCAAACAGGAUUAGAUACCCUGGUAGUCCACGCCGUAAACGAUGAGCACUAGGUGUUGGGCCCGUUAGGGCUCAGUGCCGCAGUUAACGCAAUAAGUGCUCCGCCUGGGGAGUACGCUCGCAAGAGUAAAACUCAAAGGAAUUGACGGGGACCCGCACAAGCAGCGGAGCAUGUGGUUUAAUUCGAAGCAACGCGAAGAACCUUACCAGGGCUUGACAUCCUGCUGACAGGACCUUAAUCGGUCCCUUCUUCGGACAGCAGAGACAGGUGGUGCAUGGUUGUCGUCAGCUCGUGUCGUGAGAUGUUGGGUUAAGU